CAACACACAAUAGAUAAAACAUCAAAUGACAUGCAGCAGUUUGCAAUGUCCAAAUUCAUCUCUCUUUCUCUGUGAUCCCUCUGCCAUUUCCAUGGCAUUUUCUUUGCCCAUUCGACCUCUCUUCACUCAUAAGCCCUCUCUUUCCUGCACGCGUAAAGCCCAUUUGAAGGCUUCCCAAGUUCUCUUCUCCUCUAUUCCCACUACCCCAUUGCUAGUUUCAUCAUUCACUGCCAAUUUAGAGGCCUCAUUCCAUAACCCAAUUUCUUCUUCAUCUGUUUCCAAGCUCAGGCUCAUUCCCAAGGUUGGUGGUGAUCGGGCUGAUUAUUCAUCUGGGGAGGAAGAAACCAAAUCGGUUGAUUCUGAAGCAGCCAAUGAAGAGGAGUUUUCUUGGUCUUCUGUCAUUUUGCCGUUCUUGUUCCCUGCCUUGGGAGGUUUGUUGUUUGGAUAUGACAUUGGUGCCACAUCUGGAGCUACUCUCUCAUUGCAGUCACCAGAGCUUAGUGGUACCAGUUGGUUUAACCUCUCUGCCGUUCAACUUGGUCUUGUGGUUAGUGGCUCUCUGUAUGGAGCACUUCUUGGUUCCCUCCUUGUGUAUCCAAUUGCAGAUUUUCUCGGACGAAGGAGGGAAUUGAUUAUAGCAGCUGGAUUAUAUGCAAUUGGUAGCCUUACCACUGCUUAUAGCCCUGACCUGGGGGUUCUUCUGGCAGGAAGACUUCUCUAUGGCCUUGGCAUUGGUCUGGCCAUGCAUGGAGCUCCACUUUAUAUAGCUGAAACAUGUCCAUCCAAGAUUCGAGGAACUUUAGUAUCUUUGAAGGAGCUGUUUAUAGUGCUAGGAAUUUUGAUGGGGUAUUUAGUUGGCAGUCUUCAGAUUAAUGCGGUUGGAGGGUGGCGAUAUAUGUAUGGACUUAGUGCACCGGUUGCUUUCAUGAUGGGAUUAGGAAUGUGGCUUCUCCCGCCAUCACCUCGUUGGUUACUUCUCAGAGCCGUUCAAGGUAAAGCGCCUUCACAGGAUUCUAAAGAGGAAGCCAUUGUGGCCUUGAGUAAACUUAGAGGACGACCUCCUGGUGAUAAAGUAUCUGAGAAGCAAAUAGAAGAAACGUUUCUCUCUCUGAAAUCUGCCUAUUCAGAGCAGGAAUCUGAAGGGAGUAUUUGGGAGGUCUUUCAAGGCCCGAGUUUGAAAGCCUUCAUAAUUGGUGGAGGUUUGGUUCUUUUUCAGCAGAUAACUGGACAGCCGAGUGUUCUAUAUUAUGCAGGUCCCAUUCUUCAGAAUGCAGGAUUUGCUGCUGCCACUGACGCAACCAGAGUCUCAGUUGUUAUUGGGGUGUUUAAGUUGCUUAUGACGUGGGUAGCUGUGCUAAAAGUUGAUGAUCUUGGAAGAAGGCCUUUGCUCAUUGGAGGUGUUAGUGGAAUUGCGCUUUCCUUGCUUCUUCUUUCGGCCUACUACAAAUUUCUUGGUGGGUUCCCCAUUGUUGCUGUAGGUGCCCUGCUUUUGUAUGUAGGAUGUUACCAGAUAUCCUUUGGACCAAUCAGUUGGCUUAUGGUGUCUGAAAUAUUUCCACUUCGAACUAGAGGGAAAGGAAUCAGUCUUGCAGUUCUUACUAACUUUGGUUCAAAUGCUAUUGUCACAUUUGCAUUUUCACCUCUAAAGGAGUUGCUUGGAGCAGAAAACCUUUUCCUUCUUUUUGGUGCCAUUGCAUUGCUUUCACUUCUUUUUGUAGUUCUCCAAGUUCCCGAGACCAAAGGUCUAAGUCUGGAAGAUAUAGAAUCCAAAAUCUUGAAGUGAUAUACACCCAAUGGCCAAAUUCUCCUCUCAUGAGAUGUCAGUAAUUUAAACGUUUGUUUGCAGCAGUUGAAUUGCCUAAAUUUUACAGAAUCACUGCAACAUAUUUUUCGCUUGGAGAUGCUGACAUGACUGGAAUCUGUUGAAUAUCUAAAUAUAAAGUGGCUACAAAACAACUGUCUCAAAUUGAAUAAGUGCUGUAAAAGUAGAAACAGGAAGUUGCAGAAACUCACCUCUAUGGGUGGUGGUAAAGACUGGCGCGCUCGCUGAAGAUUUUGCAGCUAAAUGUGUAACUAUUGGUUGUGGUGUUGCCUCUGCUGGCAAGGAAGGUUUUGCAGCCAAAUGUGUAACCAUUGGUUGUGGUGUUGCCUCCGCUGCCAAAUGUGUAGCCGGUAUUGCCUGUGGUGCUGCCCUGGCCUGUGGCGAAGGUUUUGCAGCCAAAUGUGUAGCUGGUAUUGCCUGUGGUGAAGGUUUUGCAGCCAAAUGUAAUGCCAGAAUUGCUUGUGGUGCCACCUCGGCAUGUGAUGAAGAUUUUGCAGCCACCGCCUGUGGGGUCUUCUCCACUGAGGAUGAAGGUUUUGCAGCCAAAUGAGCAGCCAUUGGUGGCGGUGUCGAUUCAGCUCGCACUGAUUUUGCAGCCACUAGCUCUGGUGCCUUCUCAGCCCUUGAUGAAGAUCUCGCAACUGAGUGUGCAGCCACUGGUUGUGGUGCCACUUCAACCUGUGACGAAGAUUUUGCAGUCAAAUGCGUAGACUUUGGCUGUGGUGCGUCCCCAGCUCGCAACAUAGAAUUUACUGCUUCCCUCACCUUCUCUACCACACCUAUACCAGGCUUUGCUCUGGGACUCAGUGCGUCAGACAACACCUGAGAAAGUGCUCUCUCAUCUUCACCUGGCUCAAACUUGUGCAUCAAGUACUCCUUUACUGAAACUCCUUUAUCCCAUAUCUGCUCAGUUCCUUUACUCAAACUUGGUGAUUGUGUAGCUAUUGGGUCAGAGCAUGUCGUUUUAAUUGUUAGGGAAGAAGCUUUUUUUGGAGUUGAUGGUGAAGAACGAGUUGAUGAGUUGGACGGAGAAGAGAUGGUGAGGCUCUGGAUCUUUGAAGCAAUAGCAUGAGUAGCAUCAGUAACAGUGGAAUAAACUGGUGCCAACUUCUCAGUCAUAGUUUCAGUUAGUGUCUUGUUUGGACUUGAAGGCUUAGCAACCUCCUUUUCUUGUAUUAUCUUCAUGGUACUAUUUGCAGUUGUAGUUUCAUUCGAUGUAUUGCUAUUACCAAUGGACGACUCAACGGCCAUUUGAGACAAUGUCUCUGGAGAGUUGGAAGGUUUUUCGUCGUGUCCAAAGGCAAGUUUUAUGGUAUUCGCUAAAGUAUGAUUCUCAGCAAUCACAGGAUCUGCUCGAGGAUGCUGCCUAGCAUUCUCUUUGCAGUCCUCUGGUGCGAGCUCUGAUUCAUACACUACAAAUGAAAGAAGGAUGCUGUUCAAGUUCAAAUCAACAAAUGGAAUUUAGAGCAUGUAAUGGAAAGAAGUUUUACUUGGGGCUCCAAGAUAUUCAGCAUCGACGCCUUCCUCCUCCUCUUCAUCCUCAUCCAAGUUAUAACCCCACGACGGUGUAAUGUUCUCAUCUUCACCGUGCCUCUUCUUGUUGCUGAGUGAGUUUCUCAAUUUCUUUGCUUUUUCCUUUACCUUGGUGAAAACUGAUUUCUUCUGAUGGUGAUCAAUAUCAUCUUCGAGGUCAUGGUCCUUUACGAGCACUGGAGAUGCGUUUGUUGGAGGCCAUCUUGAAGCCUCCCCAUCUGCACAUGGAAAUGGCUAAACUAUGUUAAUUCUGAAAAGCUAUAGUUUUCAAUGGAUUUGUUUAGAACAAAAUACACUUUCUCAGCUUGUGUGCUAUUGCUUGAGAUUUCAAUUGCAAAAGAAGUUGUCUAUUUUACUAAUAA